AAUUUAGCAGCCAAAAUGUUACCCUGACUGUUUCUCUUGUUUCUCUCUACUUUGUUCAGAUUUUCCAGUACCAUCAGAAAAUGGAAACAUGUCUACUGGCGCUAUAGUUGGGAUAGUUAUUGGUGUUCUGUUUACGAUUUUUCUAGUUCUGGGAAUUCUUUGGUGGAAGGGUUGCUUAGGAUCCAAAGAUACUACAGCACAAGGUAUUGCAUAAGCUUCUUAUUUUUCAUGUGUGUAGAUCUAUUAGGCAGUCAUAUAUGAGUGAUAUAUCCACGACCCUGUGCAAUCUAAUUCUGUCAAUCCUCUUUAUACUUGGUUAUAGAUUAGAAAGAGAGUUUUCAAUUGUCUUGAACGCUUCUUGAUGUUUUUGACAGAUCUAAAGGGUCUAGACCUACACACUGGAUCAUUUACCCUAAGACAAAUUAAAGCUGCCACAAACAAUUUUGAUCCUGCUAACAAGAUUGGAGAAGGUGGUUUUGGUCCUGUGUACAAGGUAUCCUAAGGAAGAGCUAUUUUUCGAAUCUACUAUGGUUUGGUCACUUGAAACCUCUUUUGACAUUAUGAAUUGUUUGAAGGGUCUCCUGUCAGAUGGAAUCAUCAUAGCUGUGAAGCAGCUUUCUUCUAAAUCGAAGCAAGGGAACCGUGAAUUUGUGAAUGAAAUAGGCAUGAUUUCUGCUCUACAACACCCUCAUCUUGUAAAGCUGCAUGGAUGCUGUAUCGAAGGCAACCAGUUGUUGCUUGUGUACGAAUACAUGGAGAAUAACAGCCUUGCUCGUGCUUUAUUUGGUAAUGCAAAAAAGCUUAACUUUUUAUUCCAGUACUGAAAUGAAAUGCAAAAACGUGUAACCCGUUGUUAUCUGAUUCGUAUAUUUUUGUGCAAACGAGUGUUCUCAGGUCCAGAAGAACACCAGUUGAAAUUGGAUUGGCCUACAAGGCGCAAGAUCUGUAUUGGUAUAGCAAGAGGAUUGGCUUAUCUUCAUGAGGAAUCGAGAUUAAAAAUUGUCCAUCGGGACAUCAAGGCUACCAAUGUGCUUCUUGAUAAGAAUCUUCAUCCAAAAAUAUCUGAUUUCGGUCUUGCCAAACUCGAUGAAGAAGAUAAUACCCAUAUAAGCACUCGUAUCGCUGGAACUUUGUGAGUAAUAAAAUGCUGAUCUUGCUUUCUUUUUUCUUUUCUUUUCUUAUUUUUGACAAGUGUCUUCUCCUUUCUCCUUUUCUACAUAACUUAUCUGAAAUGAUACUACAUAAUAUUAAAAUUACAUGACGUAUGAGUGUUGUGUAUCUCCCAGUGGAUAUAUGGCACCUGAAUAUGCUAUGCGAGGCUAUUUGACCGAUAAAGCAGAUGUAUACAGUUUCGGAAUUGUUCUUCUAGAAAUUGUCAGUGGUAGAAGCAACACUAGUAUCAGGCCAAAAGAGGACUCUUUCUAUCUUCUUGAUUGGGUAACAGUUGCUAUUAUUUUAUGUGCUUAUUCCUAAUUGUGUUCGUACAAACUCUGACUAGCUCUUUGUUUCCUUUUUUUAGGCUAAUUCCUUGAAGGCUAACGGAAAAUUAACGGAACUGAUUGAUCCAAGAUUGGAAUCAAACUUCAGUAAAAAAGAGGUGAUCAUGACUAUCAAUGUAGCGCUCCAUUGUACCAAUGCUGUAGCUGCCGAAAGACCAAGUAUGUCAACAGUUGUAAGCAUACUCGAAGGAAGAGAGCGUGUUCAAGGAUUUGUACCAGACUCCAGUAUUUCAAUGGACGAAAUGAAGCCAAAGAGUCAAGACCAAGCAACAGAGUCAAAUGAUGAUCAAGACCAAAGUAUUUCAAUGGAUGCUCCUUGGACAGCUUCCUCAACCUCGACCGCUGACCUGUAUCCGAUCACUUUGGAUACUGAUUACUGGGAGAAGAGAAUGUAAAAAGUCGCAUUUCUAUGUGUUUUUGGUCCUGAAAUUUCGUUUUCCUUACAGACGACGUAAAUUUUUCAUUUUUUUUUCUUUUUCCCAGAAAUUCCCGUCUUAUAUUUUAUCUUUGUUCUCGCAUCAAGGAUUUGUUUGAUCCUUAACUUCUUUGUACAUUUUGGGUUUGUAUAUUUAAAUGCAUUUCUAUAUAUGCAAUUAGAAAGAACUUUAUAUUGGAAUAAAUUA
rnacentral:lncRNA from 1 species